UACAGAGGUCUCAAGCGUUGUUCGGAUUCAUUGGGCGUAAAGCGCACGUAGGCGGAUGUGUCAGUCAGGGGUGAAAUCCCGGGGCUCAACCUCGGAACUGCCUUUGAUACAGCACGUCUCGAGUCCGGAAGAGGUGGGUGGAAUUCCUAGUGUAGAGGUGAAAUUCGUAGAUAUUAGGAAGAACACCGGUGGCGAAGGCGGCCCACUGGUCCGGUACUGACGCUGAGGUGCGAAAGCGUGGGGAGCAAACAGG
rnacentral:rRNA from 1 species